GACGAAGGGGGCUAGCGUUGUUCGGAAUUACUGGGCGUAAAGCGCGUGUAGGCGGUUGCCCAAGUCGGGUGUGAAAGCCUUGAGCUCAACUCAAGAAAUGCACUCGGUACUGGGUGACUAGAGGACCGGAGAGGAUAGUGGAAUUCCCAGUGUAGUGGUGAAAUACGUAGAGAUUGGGAAGAACACCAGUGGCGAAGGCGGCUAUCUGGACGGUUUCCGACGCUAAGACGCGAAAGCGUGGGGAGCAAACAGG
rnacentral:rRNA from 1 species